UGAGAUGAAGCUUGGGACUCGGCUGAGAGCUGGGAUUCCGAAAUUUGCUGGGAGAUGUUAGGAUGUUGUCCACGGUUGAGAUGCUGCUAGGAUGCGGAGGAAAAGCUUCACUGCAAGAUAAGGAUGGAAGUGGCUGGACGCUGAAAGGUGAUCCGAAAGCAGGGGAAAAACUUGGACGGUUGGAACGAUGCUCACGGCUGAGGGGAGAUGAAGAUGAAUCAUGGAGAAGAUGAGGUUGAAAAGCUUGGACCUUAUCUGUGGGUGAUAUGACAGCUGGGAUCAAACGUGGGAUGGUGUUCUCGGCUGGAAUUACUCCUGAAACAGGGGAAUCCGGAAGAGAAUUUGCUGGCUGGGACGUUGGGACGAAGUUGGGGAUCUGGUUAAAUGCAGGAUGAAGCUCGAUCGCAGAUGAUGCGGGAGGAUGAGGAUGAAUACGGAGACAUGGAAGCUAGGGAGGGAUUUGCGGAUGGAGUGGAUUAUGGUCGCGUGAGCUUCUUCCGUGAUGCUCGGCAUGGCUGGAAAACAGGGAAUGAUCCACGGGUGCUUCGGAAGCUUGGGUGUUAGAUGAAUCUGGGACCUCACAUGCGGAUAUCUGGGAAGCUUGAGACAGAUUGUUCUUGGAUGCGGAAGGGAAUGACAUGGAGGAGAGGAAUUGAUCUUUAUCCAUGGAUGCUGGAAGUGGGAGAAUCAACGUGGAGGGGAAUGAUCCGUGGUAACGUGG
rnacentral:lncRNA from 1 species